rnacentral:tRNA from 1 species
UGGGAUUUAGCUCAGAGGCAUAAGCGCCUGCCUUGCAAGCAGGCAGUCGUGAGUUCAAUCCCCAGUACCGA